rnacentral:rRNA from 1 species
GUGUCAGCAGCCGCGGUAAUACGUAGGGGGCAAGCGUUGUCCGGAAUUAUUGGGCGUAAAGCGCGCGCAGGCGGUCUUUUAAGUUUGGUGUUUAAGCCCAGGGCUCAACCCUGGUUCGCACUGAAAACUGGGAGACUUGAGUGCAGGAGAGGAAAGUGGAAUUCCACGUGUAGCGGUGAAAUGCGUAGAGAUGUGGAGGAACACCAGUGGCGAAGGCGACUUUCUGGACUGUAACUGACGCUGAGGCGCGAAAGCGUGGGGAGCAAACAGGAUUAGAUACCCUGGUAGUCCACGCCGUAAACGAUGAGUGCUAGGUGUUAGGGGUUUCGAUACCCUUGGUGCCGAAGUAAACACAGUAAGCACUCCGCCUGGGGAGUACGCUCGCAAGAGUGAA